rnacentral:lncRNA from 1 species
CGAACACAAAGAGACAAAGUAAGAGAGAUAGAAAGAAGGGAAUUCAAGGAAGCGGGCGUACUGCCAUCUAUGGACCUAACAAUGAACUAAUCCGUGGUUUGUCCAAUCAUAUUUCAUAUCAUUAUGUCAUUAUAUGAAGGAAUACUAGAACUACUGGAAAGGAAACAAAAAUAUCGCGCUCACACUAGAAGGCUCUCUUUUCCUGCAACUACAAAAAGGAGAAAUGACUAGUAUGAUGUAUGAACAUUGAUACAUUUAUCCGACUCGUAACAAUUUAUCACAAUCUUAAAUUAAUCAAUUUCUUAACUUAUGCUUAAUUAUAUUUAUCCUUUAACUUAAUAAUUUCAUUUUAUACCCAGACAAAUUCAAACUUAAUUUAUAUUACUUUCGACAUUCAUUUAGCCGACUUUUUUUUUUACAGAAGUAUAAAAAUUGUUUUUAUUUCGUAUGUAAUAAUAAAAAUAUAACAUUGGAAG